rnacentral:rRNA from 1 species
CUAGCAUAUCAAUAAGCGGAGGAAAAGAAACCAACCGGGAUUGCCUCAGUCCCGGCGAGUGAAGCGGCAAGAGCUCAAAUUUGAAAUCUGGCCCCUCCGGGGUCCGAGUUGUAAUUUGUAGAGGAUGCUUCGGGAGCGGUCCCCGUCUAAGUGCCCUGGAACGGGCCAUCGUAGAGGGUGAGAAUCCCGUCUGGGACGGGGUGUCCGCGUCCGUGUGAAGCUCCUUCGACGAGUCGAGUUGUUUGGGAAUGCAGCUCUAAAUGGGUGGUAAAUUUCAUCUAAAGCUAAAUACUGGCCGGAGACCGAUAGCGCACAAGUAGAGUGAUCGAAAGAUGAAAAGCACUUUGAAAAGAGAGUUAAACAGCACGUGAAAUUGUUGAAAGGGAAGCGCUUGCGACCAGACUCGCUUCCGGGGUUCAGCCGGCUUUCGGGCCGGUGUACUUCCCCGGGGGCGGGCCAGCGUCGGUUUGGGCGGCCGGUCAAAGGCCCCUGGAAUGUAACGCCUCUCGGGGCGCCUUAUAGCCAGGGGUGUCAUGCGGCCAGCCUGGACCGAGGAACGCGCUUCGGCACGGACGCUGGCAUAAUGGUCGUAAACGACCCGUCUUGAAACACGGACCAAGGAGUCUAACAUCUACGCGAGUGUUCGGGUGUCAAACCCGUGCGCGCAGUGAAAGCGAACGGAGGUGGGAGCCCCCUCGAGGGGCGCACCAUCGACCGAUCCUGAUGUCUUCGGAUGGAUUUGAGUAAGAGCGUAGCUGUGGGGACCCGAAAGAUGGUGAACUAUGCCUGAAUAGGGAGAAGCCAGAAAAAACUCUGGAGGAGGCUCGCAGCGGUUCUGACGUG